rnacentral:hammerhead_ribozyme from 1 species
GCACUGCUGAGGAGUCCCAUACCAGGACUACACGGCCGUCCAGUGC